CCCCCUCCCCAUCCCCUCUACCUCCGCCGCCUGCCACUCCCACGCGAGAAUCCCCCGAUGCCCCCCACGCACCCGCUCCCUUCCCACCGCCUUGCAAAAUUCACGCUGCUCAGGGAGCCCCCACAGCCGCAGGGCGGCCCCCGGUGCGGUCCCCCCACCAUGCCCGGUGCCGUGCCCCGCUCACCGCCGGUGCCGCGCCCGCUCCGCUCCGCCGCGGUCCCACCCGGGCUUUUUAUCCGCCCUCCCAAGCAAAACAGGCGCGCCCGCUGAUUGGCCGCCGCCUCAGCUAAUGGCCGCGCGCGCCGCUGCCGCUGGGGCACGUGCCGGUUCGCGCCCCCCCCCCGCCUCACGGGACCCCCGCCGGGACCCCUCACGGGACCCCCCCAUAUCCCCACAGGAUCUCCGGGGGAUCCCCCGGUAUCCUCCCCCGGGAUCUCCAUGGGAUACUCUCGAUAUCCCCCCCGGAUCCUCCCGAUAUCUCCUCACGGGACCCCCCAGUAUCUUCUCGUGAGAUCCCACGGUACCCCCCGACAUCUUCUCCCGGGAGCCGUGUCGGGAACAGCGCCCGCGGCAUUGCUCAUCUGCUGUGGCUACGGGCACCGGAUCCGUCCUGCGAAGUCUGCCCGUCCUCCUCAAGGAGAGAUGCCAGAGAAGCUGCUCCACCCCAUUAAAAGGGCAUCCUGGGAGCAGGCAUCCCGCACAGCCUCACGGCUGAACACCCUGACGGCACAGCUGGACAGGGGCAAUGAGCCCUCGAGACACCACAGCCCACGAUACAGCUCAAUUAAAGAGUCACAGAAAGGUUUGGGUUGGAAGGAACCUAAAAGAUCAUCUCAUUCCACCCCCUGGCAUGGGCAGGGACACCUUCCAGCAGACCAGGUUGCUCCAAGCCCCAUCCACCCUGGCCUUGGACAGUUCCAGGGGUGGGACAGCCACAGCUUCUGUGCACAACCUCUGCCAGGGCUUUGGCACAAAGAAUUUCUUCCCCAUAUCCAGUCUAACCCUACCCUCUAUCAGCCAUUCCCUCUUGUCCUGUCACUCCAUCCCUUUUCCAAUGUCCCUCUCCAGCUCUCUUAG
rnacentral:lncRNA from 1 species